UACGUAGGGCGCAAGCGUUGCCCGGAAUUAUUGGGCGUAAAGAGCUCGUAGGCGGUCUGUUGCGUCCGCUGUGAAAACUCGGGGCUUAACCCCGAGCCUGCAGUGGAUACGGGCAGACUAGAGGUAGGUAGGGGAGAGUGGAAUUCCCGGUGUAGCGGUGAAAUGCGCAGAUAUCGGGAGGAACACCGGUGGCGAAGGCGGUUCUCUGGGCCUUUACUGACGCUGAGGAGCGAAAGCGUGGGGAGCGAACAGG
rnacentral:rRNA from 1 species